GCUGCAAUCCAUGUAAGAUGUGACUUGUUCCUCCUUGCCUUCUGCCAUGAUUGUGAGGCCUCCACAGCCAUGCGGAACUGUUGAAAUAUACACUACCUGAAGCUGGAUAACUCAUGAACUCUGUUGACAAUUAUAUUCUUUGUCUUUUUAAUUAACUCAUUUGGAGUCAGUGUCCUGAGGACCUAAGCCUAAGAAUCUUCAAGAUGGAAGAGUAGAGUGAACAACGAAUGAGCCAGAGGGCUCUUGUCCUCUGUGUGCAGUUCUGGGCAGCCAGCAGGUGGAUAUGGGACUUGACCUGCCGGAGGGGCCCUGGCAAGAGGAGCUGGCAGGAGCAGAUGGCAAAGGAUAAAGCGCUCCCUUGUUGGCGUCCCCACAGUCCAGGCUGGUGCUGAUGCCGUCCUGCGUCAGAGCCACUCAUGCCCGUGUGCGCACUCUUUGUCGGGGUCUGACACCGUUGCAUCGUAUAUCACCUGUGUUGUCAUGGUCGGUGCUCAACAAAUGCCCCUACUGAUUCAAGUAUAUGAGCAAGUCAAAUAAAAAAAUAAUAUGGCCGG
rnacentral:lncRNA from 1 species